UUUCUAAGGCGCUUGAGAGAACUCUGGAGAAGGAACUCGGCAAAUUGACACCGUAACUUCGGAAGAAGGUGUGCCUUUAGUAGGUGAACCAUUUACUUGGGGAGCCCAAUGAGGCCGCAGAGAAUCGGUGGCUGCAACUGUUUAUUAAAAACACAGCACUCUGCAAAGACGAAAGUCGACGUAUAGGGUGUGACUCCUGCCCGGUGCUGGAAGAUUAAAUGAUGGGGUGCAAGCUCUUGACUGAAGUCCCAGUAAACGGCGGCCGUAACGAUAACGGUCCUAAGGUAGCGAAAUUCCUUGUCGGGUAAGUUCCGACCUGCACGAAUGGAGUAAUGAUGGCCACACUGUCUCCUCCAGAGACUCAGCGAAGUUGAAAUGUUUGUGAUGAUGCAAUCUCCCCGCGGAAAGACGGAAAGACCCCAUGAACCUUUACUGUAGCUUUACAUUGGACUUUGAACAGAUCUGUGUAGGAUAGGUGGGAGGCUUUGAAACCAGGACGCUAGUUUUGGUGGAGCCAACGUUGAAAUACCACCCUGGUGUGUUUGAGGUUCUAACCUUGGCCCGUUAUCCGGGUCGGGGACAGUGUAUGGUGGGCAGUUUGACUGGGGCGGUCUCCUCCCAAAGUGUAACGGAGGAGUUCGAAGGUACGCUAAAUACGGUCGGAAAUCGUGUUGAUAGUGCAUUGGCAUAAGCGUGCUUGACUGCGAGACUGACAAGUCGAGCAGGUACGAAAGUAGGACAAAGUGAUCCGGUGGUUCUGUAUGGAAGGGCCAUCGCUCAACGGAUAAAAGGUACUCUGGGGAUAACAGGCUGAUACCGCCCAAGAGUUCAUAUCGACGGCGGUGUUUGGCACCUCGAUGUCGGCUCAUCUCAUCCUGGGGCUGUAGCCGGUCCCAAGGGUAUGGCUGUUCGCCAUUUAAAGAGGUACGUGAGCUGGGUUUAAAACGUCGUGAGACAGUUUGGUCCCUAUCUUCCGUGGGCGCUGCAAGAUUGAGAGAGCCUGCUCCUAGUACGAGAGGACCGGAGUGGACGCACCUCUGGUGUAUCGGUUGUCACGCCAGUGGCAUUGCCGAGUAGCUAAGUGCGGAAGAGAUAACCGCUGAAAGCAUCUAAGCGGGAAACUCGUCUCAAGAUGAGUCUUGCCGGGGCCUUGAGCCCCCUGAAGAGUCGUUCGAGACCAGGACGUUGAUAGGCUGGGUGUGGAAGCGCAGUAAUGCGUUAAGCUAACCAGUACUAAUUGCUCGUGAGGCUUGACCCG
rnacentral:rRNA from 1 species